AUGACGCGACUUCCGGAAGUCCUGUGAGGAGAGCUGUCGGGUGCGCGCUGAUCGCCUUUUCGCCUUUUUUCAAAAUGCAUUGAAGAGCAUGGAGGCGACAUUUUUUGGUCAAUUUUAUGCUAAAUCUGAGUCAAACAACUCCAAGUUUCAGGUUUCAAGUUUAAAGCAGCAAACCAGCGUCACUGACACUCUUCAGCGCUGAGCUCUAGUCUUCCCACCACAACAGCACCAGCUGACCCGAAGUCAGAGUCACUGCUCCUCCGGAAGAAGGAAGAAGAUCCAUAAAACGGACUAAAGACGGCACCACAGGACAUCUGCAUUUUGCAUCCGGGACAGCAGAACAGGCAGCAUAAAUCGGAACUUGUCCCGGGAUGUGGAAUGGUUGGGAAGUACUGUAUGCUAAGAGGCCUGGAAAUUUCAAAGCCUAAAUGGAGAAGGGGUGCUCCAUUUGGGUCAAGAAGUUUCCUCUCCCCAAUUUGCCUCUAGGGUCUUGGUACCAGUCAUUUUGUCUUGGCCUGGGGGUUCUGCUAAGAUUUCUGCCUUUGUGGAUUUUGUGGCUGUGGGGGAACUUCUUAGAUGCUGCCUUUGCAGGAAGGCACAAUAUUUCCCUUAUUCCUCCUGUUUGAAUCUUAGCAAUUGAUAGGAGCCCACUUGGGUCUGGGCUGGUUACCCAAAAGUCUAUGCCUAUCCCCAUAUAUAUCAACAAUAUACAUUUUGAAGAAAUAUCGCUCCACAUUUUUGAUGGUUCUUCCUCCUCUCCCUUAAUUCUAGGGUUACCCUGGUUACAAAAUCAUAACCCACGUAUAGAUUGGGUAUCUGGGAAGGUCAUUCAGUGAGGGUCAAAAUGUAUGGGUUCCUCUAUAAACUCCCUUCAGGUGGUUGCAGUAACCUCUUUAGAGGGGUUGCCUUCUGUUUAUGAGGACUUCUCAGAUGUUUUUUCAAAGAAGGCCGCUGAAACGCUACCACCCCAUAGGCAGUAUGACUGCCCCAUUGACUUGGUUCCAGGGUCCACUCCCCCUAGAGGGAGAACAUACCUUCUUUCCUUUCCUGAAGCUCAGGCUAUGAAAUAUUACAUUAAAGAGAACCCGGAGAGAGGUUUUAAUAGACCCUCUAACUCUUCUGCAGGGGCUGGGUUCUUUUUCAUGGGCAAGAAAGAUGGGGGCUUCGCCCAUGUAUUGACUGUCAUGGUCUUAAUUAAGUGAUGGUGAAAAAACGAUUUCCCCUUCCUCUAAUCAUUGAGUUAUUCAAUCAAGUUAACAAUGCCACAAUUUAAACUAAACUUGAUCUUAGAGGUGCGUAAAAUCUCAUUCGUAUUAGGGAAGGGGAUGAGUGGAAAACGGCCUUUAAUACCAGGGAUGGCGGUUACAAAUAUUUGGCCACGACAUUUGGUCUUUGCAAUGACCCUGCAGUUUUUCAGUACUUUGUAAAUUACAUUUUUGCAAAAUUUUGUAGCAUAAAAGUGGAACCUAGGCAGUACCCCUCGACAAAAGGUCCCCAAAAGAUGAAGGCUGAUACAAUGAGUCUAUUGGCUGAUGUACAACAUGAUCUAUUGAGUAUAGAGAAUAUGAGACAGUACUAACAUUUCUAUACCGGAAAAGUAAGUUUUACAAAAAUCCUUUUUGUAUAUUUUUUGUUAUAGUAGUUCCUAAGUACGAUGACCUGCACACCAUGCUAAAUGCCACAUAGUAAACACAAAUGGUUUUGAUAUGUUGUAUAUGUUAAAACAAUAAACUUUGCCUUUAAAAAAAC